rnacentral:tRNA from 1 species
AUUCAGGGAUGGGAAUCGAACCCACAGUGUUCCGUUUACCAGGCAGAUGCCAUGUCCACUAGGCUACCCUGGA